GUUCGCGGCUGGACUAUUUAUUACCCUUGUCUUUUGCGCACUUGUUGUUUCCUGGGCGGGUUCGCUCGCCACCAGGACCACAAUAUAAACCUUUUUUAUGCAGUUGCAAUCAGCGUCAGUAUAACAAAUGUAAAUCAUUUACAACUUUCAACAACGGAUCUCUUGGUUCUGGCAUCGAUGAAGAACGCAGCGAAAUGCGAUACGUAGUGUGAAUUGCAGAAUUCAGUGAAUCAUCGAAUCUUUGAACGCACAUUGCGCCCUUUGGUAUUCCAAAGGGCAUGCCUGUUCGAGCGUCAUUUGUACCCUCAAGCUUUGCUUGGUGUUGGGCGUUUUUGUCUUUGGCCCGCCAAAGACUCGCCUUAAAAUGAUUGGCAGCCGGCCUACUGGUUUCGCAGCGCAGCACAUUUUUGCGCUUGCAAUCAGCAAAAGAGGACGGCAAUCCAUCAAGACUCCUUCUCACGUUUGACCUCGGAUCAGGUAGGGAUACCCGCUGAACUUAAGCAUAUCA
rnacentral:rRNA from 1 species